rnacentral:rRNA from 1 species
CUACGUGCCAGCAGCCGCGGUAAUACGGAAGGUCCAGGCGUUAUCCGGAUUUAUUGGGUUUAAAGGGAGUGUAGGCGGUUUGUUAAGCGUGUUGUGAAAUUUAGAUGCUCAACAUUUAACUUGCAGCGCGAACUGUCAGACUUGAGUACACGCAACGUAUGCGGAAUUCAUGGUGUAGCGGUGAAAUGCUUAGGUAUCAUGAAGAACUCCGAUUGCGAAGGCAGCAUACGGGAGUGUAACUGACGCUUAAGCUCGAAGGUGCGGGUAUCGAACAGGAUUAGAUACCCUGGUAGUCCGCACAGUAAACGAUGGAUGCCCGCUGUUAGCGCCUGGCGUUAGCGGCUAAGCGAAAGCAUUAAGCAUCCCACCUGGGGAGUACGCCGGCAACGGUGAAACUCAAAGAAAUUGACGGGGGCCCGCACAAGCGGAGGAACAUGUGGUUUAAUUCGAUGAUACGCGAGGAACCUUACCCGGGCUUGAAUUGCAGAGGAAUUAUUUAGAGAUA